GAGUUUGAUCGUGGCUCAGGAUGAACGCUGGCGGCGUGCCUAAUACAUGCAAGUCGAGCGAACAGACGAGGAGCUUGCUCCUCUGACGUUAGCGGCGGACGGGUGAGUAACACGUGGAUAACCUACCUAUAAGACUGGGAUAACUUCGGGAAACCGGAGCUAAUACCGAAUAAUAUAUUGAACCGCAUGGUUCAAUAGUGAAAAACGGUUUUGCUGUCACUUAUAGAUGGAUCCGCGCCGCAUUAGCUAGUUGGUAGGGUAACGGCUUACCAAGGCGACGAUGCGUAGCCGACCUGAGAGGGUGAUCGGCCACACUGGAACUGAGACACGGUCCAGACUCCUACGGGAGGCAGCAGUAGGGAAUCUUCCGCAAUGGGCGAAAGCCUGACGGAGCAACGCCGCGUGAGUGAUGAAGGUCUUCGGAUCGUAAAACUCUGUUAUUAGGGAAGAACAAAUGUGUAAGUAACUAUGCACGUCUUGACGGUACCUGAUCAGAAAGCCACGGCUAACUACGUGCCAGCCCG
rnacentral:rRNA from 1 species